ACCUUGCUGACGAGUGCCAAAUAGCACGAAACCUAGUUCAGAGAU
rnacentral:hammerhead_ribozyme from 1 species